CCCUUAGAUGUUCUGGGCUGCACGCGCGCUACACUGAUGCGCUCAACGAGUUUUAACCUUGCCUGGAAAGGUUGGGUAAUCUUUUUAAAACGCAUCGUGAUGGGGAUAGAUUAUUGCAAUUAUUAAUCUUCAACGAGGAAUUCCUAGUAAGCGCGAGUCAUCAGCUUGCAUUGAUUACGUCCCUGCCCUUUGUACACACCGCCCGUCGCACCUACCGAUUGAAUGGUCCGGUGAAAUCUUGGGAUUUUGUUUUGUUUGCAUUUAUUUGUAUCGAGACGAGAGAACUUGAGUAAACCUUACCAUUUAGAGGAAGGUGAAGUCGUAACA
rnacentral:rRNA from 1 species